rnacentral:tRNA from 1 species
GCCGGGAUAGCUCAGUCGGUAGAGCAGGGGACUGAAAAUCCUCGUGUCA